rnacentral:lncRNA from 1 species
UGGCAAUGCACAAGAAAGGGUCUCGGCCAGGCGCAGUGGCCCACACCUGUAAUCUCGGCACUUUGGGAGGCUGAGAAAGGGUGACAUUCCAGGAGGGCAGGGGCAAAGCCUUGGGAAAGAGAAAGGAGUUCUGAGCUAAGCAACCAGCAUGUGCAUAUAGGCUGAGGUGCAAUGGGCCAUGACCCUGUGGGGGCAUGGCGGGCACUGUAUGAUCAAGGGGGACCUUGAAGGCCCUGUUCCAUAAUUCCCUCUAUGUGGAUGAAUAACAGCUCAUGGCCCUGGCCCCACCAG